CGGGUGAGUAAUGUAUGGGGAUCUGCCUGAUGGCGGGGGAUAACUACUGGAAACGGUAGCUAAUACCGCAUAAUGUCUGCGGACCAAAGCGGGGGACCUCCGGGCCUCGCGCUAUCAGAUGAACCCAUAUGGGAUUAGCUUGUAGGUAAGGUAACGGCUUACCUAGGCGACGAUCCCUAGCUGGUCUGAGAGGAUGAUCAGCCACACUGGGACUGAGACACGGCCCAG
rnacentral:rRNA from 1 species